rnacentral:rRNA from 1 species
AACGCUAGCUACAGGCUUAACACAUGCAAGUCGAGGGGAAACGACAUUGAAAGCUUGCUUUUGAUGGGCGUCGACCGGCGCACGGGUGAGUAACGCGUAUCCAACCUGCCCACCACUUGGGGAUAACCUUGCGAAAGUAAGACUAAUACCCAAUGAUAUCUCUAGAAGACAUCUGAAAGAGAUUAAAGAUUUAUCGGUGAUGGAUGGGGAUGCGUCUGAUUAGCUUGUUGGCGGGGUAACGGCCCACCAAGGCGACGAUCAGUAGGGGUUCUGAGAGGAAGGUCCCCCACAUUGGAACUGAGACACGGUCCAAACUCCUACGGGAGGCAGCAGUGAGGAAUAUUGGUCAAUGGGCGAGAGCCUGAACCAGCCAAGUAGCGUGCAGGAUGACGGCCCUAUGGGUUGUAAACUGCUUUUAUAAGGGAAUAAAGUGAGUCUCGUGAGACUUUUUGCAUGUACCUUAUGAAUAAGGACCGGCUAAUUCCGUGCCAGCAGCCGCGGUAAUACGGAAGGUCCGGGCGUUAUCCGGAUUUAUUGGGUUUAAAGGGAGCGUAGGCCGGAGAUUAAGCGUGUUGUGAAAUGUAGACGCUCAACGUCUGCACUGCAGCGCGAACUGGUUUCCUUGAGUACGCACAAAGUGGGCGGAAUUCGUGGUGUAGCGGUGAAAUGCUUAGAUAUCACGAAGAACUCCGAUUG